UACGAAGGGGGCUAGCGUUGCUCGGAAUCACUGGGCGUAAAGCGCACGUAGGCGGCUUUCUAAGUCAGGGGUGAAAUCCUGGAGCUCAACUCCAGAACUGCCUUUGAUACUGGAGAGCUUGGGUCCGGAAGAGGUGAGUGGAACUCCGAGUGUAGAGGUGAAAUUCGUAGAUAUUCGGAAGAACACCAGUGGCGAAGGCGGCUCACUGGUCCGGUACUGACGCUGAUGUGCGAAAGCGUGGGGAGCAACAGGGAUUAAGAAACC
rnacentral:rRNA from 1 species